rnacentral:rRNA from 1 species
AGAUUGAACGCUGGCGGCAUGCCUUACACAUGCAAGUCGAACGGUAGAGUAGCAAUACUUGAGAGUGGCGAACGGGUGAGUAAUAUAUCGGAACGUGCCCAGUCGUGGGGGAUAACGUAGAGAAAUUUACGCUAAUACCGCAUACGAUCUAAGGAUGAAAGCGGGGGACCGUAAGGCCUCGCGCGAUUGGAGCGGCUGAUAUCAGAUUAGGUUGUUGGUGAGGUAAAAGCUCACCAAGCCGACGAUCUGUAGCUGGUUUGAGAGAACGACCAGCCACACUGGGACUGAGACACGGCCCAGACUCCUACGGGAGGCAGCAGUGGGGAAUUUGGACAAUGGGACGAAAGCCUGAUCCAGCAAUGCCGCGUGCAGGAAGAAGGCCUUGGUUGUAAA